rnacentral:rRNA from 1 species
AGCUGAAUGUACUGGAAGAAUAAGGAUCGGCUAACUCCGUGCCAGCAGCCGCGGUAAUACGGAGGAUCCGAGCGUUAUCCGGAUUUAUUGGGUUUAAAGGGUGCGUAGGCGGCCUAUUAAGUCAGGGGUGAAAUACGGUGGCUCAACCAUCGCAGUGCCUUUGAUACUGAUGGGCUUGAAUCCAUUUGAAGUGGGCGGAAUAAGACAAGUAGCGGUGAAAUGCAUAGAUAUGUCUUAGAACUCCGAUUGCGAAGGCAGCUCACUAAGCUGGUAUUGACGCUGAUGCACGAAAGCGUGGGGAUCGAACAGGAUUAGAUACCCUGGUAGUCCACGCCCUAAACGAUGAUAACUCGAUGUUGGCGAUAGACAGCCAGCGUCCCAGCGAAAGCGUUAAGUUAUCCACCUGGGGAGUACGCCCGCAAGGGUGAAACUCAAAGGAAUUGACGGGGGCCCGCACAAGCGGAGGAGCAUGUGGUUUAAUUCGAUGAUACGCGAGGAACCUUACCCGGGCUUGAAAGUUAGUGAAGAGUGCAGAGACGCACUCGUCCUUCGGGACACGAAACUAGGUGCUGCAUGGCUGUCGUCAGCUCGUGCCGUGAGGUGUUGGGUUAAGUCCCGCAACGAGCGCAACCCCUAUGUUUAGUUGCCAGCAUUUAAGGUGGGGACUCUAAACAGACUGCCUGUGCAAACAGAGAGGAAGGUGGGGACGACGUCAAGUCAUCAUGGCCCUUACGUCCGGGGCUACACACGUGCUACAAUGGAUGGUACAGCGGGCAGCUACAUAGCAAUAUGAUGCUAAUCUCUAAAAGCCAUUCACAGUUCGGAUUGGGGUCUGCAACUCGACCCCAUGAAGUUGGAUUCGCUAGUAAUCGCGUAUCAGCAAUGACGCGGUGAAUACGUUCCCGGGCCUUGUACACACCGCCCGUCAAGCCAUGAAAGUUGGGGGUACCUAAAGCAUGUUACCGCAAGGAGCGUGUUAGGGUAAAACCGAUAAUUGGGGCUAAGUCGUAACAAGGUAGCCGUACCGGAAGGUGCGGCUGGAAUACCUCCUUUCUA